UGGGGAAUUUUGGACAAUGGGGGAAACCCUGAUCCAGCCAUCCAGCGUGUGCGAUGAAGGCCUUCGGGUUGUAAAGCACUUUUGGCAGGAAAGAAACGUCAUGGGUUAAUACCCCGUGAAACUGACGGUACCUGCAGAAUAAGCACCGGCUAACUACGUGCCAGCAGCCGCGGUAAUACGUAGGGUGCAAGCGUUAAUCGGAAUUACUGGGCGUAAAGCGUGCGCAGGCGGUUCGGAAAGAAAGAUGUGAAAUCCCAGAGCUCAACUUGGGAACUGCAUUUUUAACUACCGGGCUAGAGUGUGUCAGAGGGAGGUGGAAUUCCGGGUGUAGCAGUGAAAUGCGUAGAUAUGCGGAGGAACACCGAUGGCGAAGGCAGCCUCCUGGGAUAACACUGACGCUCAUGCACGAAAGCGUGGGGAGCAAACAGG
rnacentral:rRNA from 1 species